rnacentral:tRNA from 1 species
GUUUCCGUAGAGUAGUGGUCAUCACGUGCGGCUAACACGUGCUAGGUCCCAGUUCGAUCCUUGGCGGAAACA